rnacentral:tRNA from 1 species
GCCUUCGUGGUGUAAUGUUAAGCAUACACGGCGCGUAUUCGAGAGGUCCGAGGUUCGAGUCCCGGUGAGGGCA